rnacentral:lncRNA from 1 species
CCCACAUGAGGCCCAUCUGAAACCCACAUCAAACCUAAUCAUCAGCUUAAACCCACUUAUCCUGCAUGGAUAUGAGUAGGUUGAAUAUGUGGCUCCACGAUGCUAAGCAGGCUCACAUAUGCAACCCAUAAUACUAAGCAUGUUGCAUAUAUGGCCAAACAAAGCUAACUCGACUGCCUUUUUGGUUCAUAUGUUGCAUGACCACA